AGAACUUUGUCUGGACCGGGAGGGUAGGAGGACCUGAGAGGGAGGAACAAAAGUCGUUUUGUUUGGUGAUGCCGAGUUGACCGGGCAGCCUUGGAAACCCUCACCCGGGAGGCGGUGAGCUGUUUGCUUGUUUAUAGCGAAGGUUCCCACUACUUCAGUUCCAGCCCGCUGCCUGGGGUUGCAGUCUGAGAGGAAGUGAAGCCUGGGAGUUCUCCGGGAGGCUGGCGCACACUUCCUCGCGGAUGCGGGAGCCUGGGCAGGCGCUGCCAGCCUCCCUCCCUCCGCGGGCGGGUGGCGGUGCACACGGAGCAGCCAGCCAAGCAGAGGGGACCGCCGUGGAGUGAUUUACACUGAGAUCAACACCUGUGUAUGCUGCAAAGGCAUACACAGGUGUUGAUUCCACUACCAUGGUGCCCAGUGGAUCCCUGGAAAAAGCAGACCCCUGAAAGCCGAAAGUCGUGCGGGAUUUUUAAAUUUCCUUUCCUUGGAACCACUAAGAAACCUCCGGUCGCAAGAGAAUUGCAAUGUUCUCCAAGCACAGAGAAAUAAGAGUUUAGGGUGGGAUACUCUGUAAUUAAAAUGUUAGCAGAUUUAAAGACCCUACUUACCUGCAACGCGCUUGGCAGAAGCAACUAUUUAACAGCAUCCACAUCGUUAGUGGGAUGGAUAAACUUUCCCUCAAAGUUCCUAAAUUAUCUUCUUUGUGCAAUUUUAAUAAAAACAUGUACAAGAGAUUAUGCCAGUCUCCCUUGUAUAUGUGCUUUAGGAGAGGUGCCUGUCUCAUUUGCUCUUUUGUCCUCUUUAAUUUUAAUGGAAUUGGACAGUCUUGCUGAAGAAGGCCUUUUUUCCCCCUCAGUGCUGACUGUUCUGUGACUGAACCGCACAUGGGAAGCGAUUGCAAUGAAAACAAUCUCCAGUGAGGAGAACUACCAGGGAGGAGUUAAGUUUCAUUCAUUCAGAAGUGCCUUCUCAGAAGGCUCAGAGGCUUUUGCUGGGGGAAGCCGGAUCUCUGAGGCUUUAUUGGAGGGGUGUGUCUCUUCGCGACAAUAGAUUGUUAUGCAAAUACAGUGAGGAACGUCUGGGCCCUACAUUGUACCCAAGGCCCAUCCAUCAAUUAUUGUUUAGGAAAGUGGUUUUUCCUGUGUUAGAGUUUUAUUGCUGUUUUCUUCUUAAUGAAGUGCCUGGGACCAGAGUGAGCAGGGGCGGUGCAGGGUGGGGGACGUGGGUGGAAAGAGAAUGGACACAGAGGAGUGUCCCUGGCUUCUGUUGUGGUGUCUUUUUCUAUUUGACUUCAUGGUUGUAAGUAUUUCCAGAUGGUGAAUCAGACACCAGACGUAACAAUAUUUCCAUAUUUGGGUAUAGCAGUAGCCUGCGUUUUUAACAUUUUUCUGCCUGUUAUCCAACCACAAAGCAUACUUGACAGCUUCAGAUGUUGUUAAAUAUAGACUUAACUUCUGUUCCCAGAGCAGGAAAUUCUUUGGAAUCCCUUGUUUUCCACGCAAUCCGUCUGUCAUGGUUUAAAAUAAAAUUUCAGCGGAUGAUCCAA